CUCAUUGUUGUGAUGACAUCAAUUCUUGCCAAAUUCAGGUAUACAUGUAAGAUGUUAAGGCAAAUAUUGCCAUUUUUUUUCUCAUUUAGAGUAGUUUAUUAUGCUAAGGGCCUGGGAAACACUUUAGAUUCAGUAAAAAAACUACCUAGAAGAAUAAAGCAGAAUGAAUACUAGAAAAAGACUGAAAGAAAAAAAAUGUGUAAAGACGCACAGAAUGAGGAACAUCUGUUGGUAAAAUAUAUUAUAAAAAUACUAAAAAGGUAUCCAGAUAGUAAAAAGCUCAGAAACAUGAAAAAUCUCUUUCACUACUGGUAGAAGCAUAUAGUAGGAUAUAGUCAAAGCGAAUUUAGCAUAAAAAUACAUACACUUUAUAUCUAUG
rnacentral:lncRNA from 1 species